GACGAACGCUGGCGGCGUGCUUAACACAUGCAAGUCGAACGGAAAGGCCCUGCUUUUGUGGGGUGCUCGAGUGGCGAACGGGUGAGUAACACGUGAGUAACCUGCCCUUGACUUUGGGAUAACUUCAGGAAACUGGGGCUAAUACCGGAUAGGAGCUCCUGCUGCAUGGUGGGGGUUGGAAAGUUUCGGCGGUUGGGGAUGGACUCGCGGCUUAUCAGCUUGUUGGUGGGGUAGUGGCUUACCAAGGCUUUGACGGGUAGCCGGCCUGAGAGGGUGACCGGCCACAUUGGGACUGAGAUACGGCCCAGACUCCUACGGGAGGCAGCAGUGGGGAAUAUUGCACAAUGGGCGGAAGCCUGAUGCAGCAACGCCGCGUGCGGGAUGACGGCCUUCGGGUUGUAAACCGCUUUCGCCUGUGACGAAGCGUGAGUGACGGUAAUGGGUAAAGAAGCACCGGCUAACUACGUGCCAGCAGCCGCGGUGAUACGUAGGGUGCGAGCGUUGUCCGGAUUUAUUGGGCGUAAAGGGCUCGUAGGUGGUUGAUCGCGUCGGAAGUGUAAUCUUGGGGCUUAACCCUGAGCGUGCUUUCGAUACGGGUUGACUUGAGGAAGGUAGGGGAGAAUGGAAUUCCUGGUGGAGCGGUGGAAUGCGCAGAUAUCAGGAGGGACACCAGUGGCGAAGGCGGUUCUCUGGGCCUUUCCUGACGCUGAGGAGCGAAAGCGUGGGGAGCGAACAGGCUUAGAUACCCUGGUAGUCCACGCUGUAAACGGUGGGUACUAGGUGUGGGGUCCAUUCCACGGGUUCCGUGCCGUAGCUAACGCUUUAAGUACCCCGCCUGGGGAGUACGGCCGCAAGGCUAAAACUCAAAGGAAUUGACGGGGCCCCGCACAAGCGGCGGAGCAUGCGGAUUAAUUCGAUGCAACGCGUAGAACCUUACCUGGGUUUGACAUGGAUCGGGAGUGCUCAGAGAUGGGUGUGCCUCUUUUGGGGUCGGUUCACAGGUGGUGCAUGGCUGUCGUCAGCUCGUGUCGUGAGAUGUUGGGUUGAGUCCCGCAACGAGCGCAACCCUUGUUCACUGUUGCCAGCACGUUAUGGUGGGGACUCAGUGGAGACCGCCGGGGUCAACUCGGAGGAAGGUGGGGAUGACGUCAAGUCAUCAUGCCCCUUAUGUCCAGGGCUUCACGCAUGCUACAAUGGCUGGUACAGAGAGUGGCGAGCCUGUGAGGGUGAGCGAAUCUCGGAAAGCCGGUCUCAGUUCGGAUUGGGGUCUGCAACUCGACCUCAUGAAGUCGGAGUCGCUAGUAAUCGCAGAUCAGCAACGCUGCGGUGAAUACGUUCCCGGG
rnacentral:rRNA from 1 species